rnacentral:rRNA from 1 species
GCGCUCCUACGGGGCGCAGCAGUGGGGAAUAUUGCACAAUGGGGGAAACCCUGAUGCAGCGACGCCGCGUGAGCGAAGAAGCAUUUCGGUAUGUAAAGCUCUAUCAGCAGGGAAGAAAAUGACGGUACCUGACUAAGAAGCCCCGGCUAAAUACGUGCCAGCAGCCGCGGCAAUACGUAGGGGGCAAGCGUUAUCCGGAUUUACUGGGUGUAAAGGGAGCGUAGGUGGCAGGGCAAGUCAGAUGUGAAAACCCGGGGCUCAACUCCGGGAGUGCAUUUGAAACUGUCUAGCUAGA